AUUGAACGCUGGCGGCAUGCCUAACACAUGCAAGUCGAACGGCAGCGCGGGGGCAACCCUGGCGGCGAGUGGCGGACGGGUGAGGAAUGCAUAGGAAUCUGCCCGGCUGUGGGGGAUAACGUAGGGAAACUUACGCUAAUACCGCAUACGACCUUCGGGUGAAAGUGGGGGACCUUCGGGCCUCACGCGAUCGGAUGAGCCUAUGCCCGAUUAGCUAGUUGGCGGGGUAAGAGCCCACCAAGGCGACGAUCGGUAGCUGGUCUGAGAGGAUGAUCAGCCACACUGGGACUGAGACACGGCCCAGACUCCUACGGGAGGCAGCAGUGGGGAAUAUUGGACAAUGGGCGCAAGCCUGAUCCAGCAAUGCCGCGUGUGUGAAGAAGGCCUUCGGGUUGUAAAGCACUUUUGUUCGGGAAGAAAUCCGUGUGGUUAAUACCCGUACGGGAUGACGGUACCGAAAGAAUAAGCACCGGCUAACUUCGUG
rnacentral:rRNA from 1 species